rnacentral:rRNA from 1 species
CCUACGGGUGGCUGCAGUGGGGAAUAUUGGACAAUGGGGGCAACCCUGAUCCAGCCAUGCCGCGUGUGUGAAGAAGGCCCUCGGGUUGUAAAGCACUUUCAGUGAGGAAGAACGCCUGGUGGUUAAUACCCAUCAGGAAAGACAUCACUCACAGAAGAAGCACCGGCUAACUCCGUGCCAGCAGCCGCGGUAAUACGGAGGGUGCGAGCGUUAAUCGGAAUUACUGGGCGUAAAGCGCGCGUAGGUGGCUUGAUAAGCCGGUUGUGAAAGCCCCGGGCUCAACCUGGGAACGGCAUCCGGACCUGUCAAGCUAGAGUGCAGGAGAGGAAGGUAGAAUUCCCGGUGUAGAGGUGAAAUGCGUAGAGAUCGGGAGGAAUACCAGUGGCGAAGGCGGCCUUCUGGACUGACACUGACACUGAGGUGCGAAAGCGUGGGUAGCAAACAGGAUUAGAUACCCUAGUAGUC